GCUGCUCUAAGAUGUGUCACAGGUGUGGCAGCUGUGUCACAUGUGUGUCAGUAGGAGGCUGAGAGGAAAGAGAUGAUGGCUACACUCAGUGUUCUGAACUAUGACCAUCUGAAUGAUUAGUAGUCUAACACU